CUCCUACGGGGGGCAGGCAGUGGGGAAUCGUUGCGCAAUGGCCGAAAGGCUAGACGCAGCGACGCCGCGUGUGGGAGGACGGCCCUUCGGGGUGUAAACCGACUAGUUGCCCGGGACGAACCGAUCUUCUUUCGAGUAGGACUGACGGUACCGGGUGAGGAAGCACCGGCUAACUCCGUGCCAGCAGCCGCGGUAAUUC
rnacentral:rRNA from 1 species